rnacentral:rRNA from 1 species
GAUGAACGCUGGCGGCGUGCCUAAUACAUGCAAGUCGAGCGAACGGGCGAGAAGUUUGCCUUUCGGAUGUUUGCGGCGGACGGGAGAGUAACACGUGGAUACCCCACCUAUACGACUGGGAUAAAUUCGGGAAACCGGAGCUUAUACCGUAUAAUAUUUUGUUGCAUAUGGUUUGAAAGAGAGAGACGGUUUUGCUGUCACUUAUAGAUGCUUCCGCGCUGCAUUAGUUGGUUGGUAGGGUAACGACUCACCAAGGCAACGAUGCAUAGCCGACCUGAGAGGUGGAUCGACCACCCUGGAACGGAGACCCGCACAGAACUCCUACGGGAGGCAGCGGUAGGGAACUUUCGGCAAUGGGCGAAGGAUUGACGGGGCAAGCCCGCGUGGGUGAUGAAGGUCUUCGGUUCGUAAAACUCUGUGAUAAGGGAAGACGAUAGGUGUAGGGAAAUGUGCACAUCUUGACGGUACCUAAUCAGAAAGCCACGGCUAACUACGUG